rnacentral:rRNA from 1 species
AGUGAACGCUGGCGGUAGGCCUAACACAUGCAAGUCGAACGGCAGCACAGUAAGAGCUUGCUCUUACGGGUGGCGAGUGGCGGACGGGUGAGGAAUACAUCGGAAUCUACUUUUUCGUGGGGGAUCACGUAGGGAAACUUACGCUAAUACCGCAUACGACCUACGGGUGAAAGCAGUGGAUCUUCGGACCUUGCGCGAUUGAAUUAGCCGAUGUCGGAUUAGCUAGUUGGCGGGGUAAAGGCCCACCAAGGCGACGAUCCGUAGCUGGUCUGAGAGGAUGAUCAGCCACACUGGAACUGAGACACGGUCCAGACUCCUACGGGAGGCAGCAGUGGGGAAUAUUGGACAAUGGGCGCAAGCCUGAUCCAGCCAUACCGCGUGGGUGAAGAAGGCCUUCGGGUUGUAAAGCCCUUUUGUUGGGAAAGAAAAGCAGCAGGUUAAUACCCCGCUGUUCUGACGGUACCCAAAGAAUAAGCACCGGCUAACUUCGUG